rnacentral:rRNA from 1 species
UGGGGAAUAUUGCACAAUGGGGGGAACCCUGAUGCAGCCAUGCCGCGUGUAUGAAGAAGGCCUUAGGGUUGUAAAGUACUUUCGGUGGUGAGGAAGGAGAGUUAUCGAAUAGGUAGCUUUAUUGACGUUAACUACAGAAGAAGCACCGGCUAACUCCGUGCCAGCAGCCGCGGUAAUACGGAGGGUGCGAGCGUUAAUCGGAAUGACUGGGCGUAAAGGGCAUGUAGGCGGAUGAUUAAGUUAGGUGUGAAAGCCCCGGGCUCAACCUGGGAAUUGCACUUAAAACUGGUCGUCUGGAGUAUUGUAGAGGAAGGUAGAAUUCCACGUGUAGCGGUGAAAUGCGUAGAGAUGUGGAGGAAUACCGGUGGCGAAGGCGGCCUUCUGGACAGAUACUGACGCUGAGAUGCGAAAGCGUGGGGAGCAAACA